rnacentral:rRNA from 1 species
GAUGAACGCUGGCGGCGUGCCUAAUACAUGCAAGUCGAGCGAACGGACGAGAAGCUUGCUUCUCUGAUGUUAGCGGCGGACGGGUGAGUAACACGUGGAUAACCUACCUAUAAGACUGGGAUAACUUCGGGAAACCGGAGCUAAUACCGGAUGAUAUUUUGAACCGCAUGGUCCAAAAGUGAAAGACGGUCUUGCUGUCACUUAUAGAUGGAUCCGCGCUGCAUUAGCUAGUUGGUAAGGUAACGGCUUACCAAGGCAACGAUGCAUAGCCGACCUGAGAGGGUGAUCGGCCACACUGGAACUGAGACACGGUCCAGACUCCUACGGGAGGCAGCAGUAGGGAAUCUUCCGCAAUGGGCGAAGGCCUGACGGAGCAACGCCGCGUGAGUGAUGAAGGUCUUCGGAUCGUAAAACUCUGUUAUUAGGGAAGAACAUAUGUGUAAGUAACUGUGCACAUCUUGACGGUACCUAAUCAGAAAGCCACGGCUAACUACGUG